ACAUACGGCCAUAGAUAGUGGAAAACUCGGGAUCCCGUCCGCUCUCCCAUAGAUAAGCCACUAAUCGGUGGCUUAGCUAUGGGAGUCGUUUCUUGUAGAUU
rnacentral:rRNA from 1 species